UACACCAUCGCUAGCAGUGACAUUGACCCCUACUUCACUUAAUGAUUUCAAGUUAAAUUUAAUUCUUAAAAUGAAAGUAAAACAUACAGAAACAAAAAAUACUUGCUCUGUGGCAGUUGCGGAAGACAACAAAAUUUUGGCUCUAAAGUACUUACAUCUUUGGUUUGAAAAGAGAUCUAUCUGGAAGUUUAAAAAAAAUAGGCAAACUUACCUUUUACGAAAUUUAUAUGAUAAAAGAACGAUCUCAAAGUCUAAUUUUAAAAUACUUCUUGGAUAUUUAAAAGAUGUUAUGGGAUCAGCUAAAGAGCGAGUUUUGAAGGAAGCCAAAGAAAUUAUAAAUAGCUACAAAGAGGAAAAGAGUCAACUAAAUUAUAAUGAGGGGAAAACCUCGCUUGACUUAAGAUCAAAGAUUAUGAAAAGAAAAAUGCGACGGGCUAAAAAGGUUUUAAAACUUUUAUCGUAAAGCAGAAUAUUCUUAAGGAAAAAUAAAAAGGGGCGGCUAUC